CAAAUCUGGAGAUAGCUGGUUCUCCCCGAAAACUAUUGAGGUAGUGCCUCGUGUGUCGCUCCAGGGGGUAGAGCACUGUUUUGGCUAGGGGGACAUGGAGUCUUACCAAACCAAGGCAAACUCCGAAUACCUGGAAGCGUGAGCACGGGAGACAGAGCACCGGGUGCUAACGUCCGGACUCAAAAGGGAAACAACCCAGACCGCCGGCUAAGGUCCCCAAUAACAGCUAAGUGGAAAACGAAGUGGAAAGGCCGUGACAACCAGGAAGUUGGCUUAGAAGCAGCCAUCCUUCAAAGAAAGCGUAAUAGCUCACUGGUCGAGUCCUUCUGCGCGGAAGAUGUAACGGGGCUAAGCUGUUAACCGAAGCCGCGGAUGCACUGAUUAUUCAGUGCGUGGUAGGGGAGCGUUCUGUAAGUCUGCGAAGGCGGUUCGAGAGGACUGCUGGAGAUAUCAGAAGUGCGAAUGCUGACAUGAGUAACGUUAAAGCAGGUGAAAAGCCUGCUCGCCGUAAGCCCAAGGAUUCCUGCUCUACGUUCAUCGGAGCAGGGUGAGUCGGCUCCUAAGGUCAGGCCGAAAGGCGUAGCCGAUGGGAAUCAGGUUAAUAUUCCUGAACCUGCGUCAGAUGCGAUGGGGGGACGGAGCAUGAAAGAUCAUCCGGGUGUUGGAUGUCCCGGUUGUUGAGCGUAGGAGGUCUGCAGGCAAAUCCGCAGACGCAUCUCCAAGGCAAAGACACGUGCCGCCACGGCGGCGAAGUGAUCGGAAGUGCUUCCAAGAAAAGCCUCUAAGCACCAGUCUGACGCGGACCGUACCGCAAACCGACACUGGUGGGCGAGCUGAAUAUGCUCAGGCGCUUGAGAGAACUCGGGAGAAGGAACUCGGCAAAUUGACACCGUAACUUCGGGAUAAGGUGUGCCUUUGUAGCGUGAAGAGAGAAACACUCGGAGCGUGAAGAGGCCUCAGAGAAUCGGUGGCUGCAACUGUUUAUUAAAAACACAGCACUCUGCAAAGACGAAAGUCGACGUAUAGGGUGUGAUGCCUGCCCGGUGCUGGAAGAUUAAGUGAUGGGGUGAGAGCUCCUGAUCGAAGUCCCAGUAAACGGCGGCCGUAACUAUAACGGUCCUAAGGUAGCGAAAUUCCUUGUC
rnacentral:rRNA from 1 species